rnacentral:rRNA from 1 species
GACGAACGCUGGCGGCGUGCUUAACACAUGCAAGUCGAACGGAGUGGCGAACGGGUGAGUAACACGUGGGUGAUCUGCCUUGCACUUCGGGAUAAGCUUGGGAAACUGGGUCUACUACCGGCUAGGGCGAGAUGAGCUCGCGGCCUAUCCGCUUGUUGGUGGGGUAAUGGCCUACGAAGGCGUCGACGGGUAGCCUGCCUUAGAGGGUGUACGGCCACAUUGGGCCUGGGGUACGGGCCAGACUCGUACGGCAGACAGAAGUGGGGAAUAUUGCACAAUGGGCGGAAGCCUGAUGCAGCGACGCCGCGUGGGGGAUGAAGGCCUUGGGGUUGGAAACUACUUUCGACAGGGACGCGGUACCUGUAUAAGAAGCACCGGCUAACUACGUGCCAGCAGCCGCGGUAAUAC